AAGCUUUGCUUGAAACCCAUUUCAUCGCCAUGUGAUGUACAUUUAAAGAAAUACAAUUGAUACAAAGUAGCUCUUGCAAAAUUGCUCUCUGAAAUCAAGUGAUAAGUUUUACAAAUGGUUAUCUUUUGGUAGUAUCUGCAAAUGAUUUCAAAUCAUCUAAUGGCGUGUGCCAAGACAAUAUGCUGUGGCUGAUCCCUCCUGUUUCGGCGAACUGAUUGUCACACAAUGUUAACCGGUCGGGAUUUAAUGAA
rnacentral:misc_RNA from 1 species